ACUUUUCUGAUUUUGUGAAGGAACUGAAGAACCAACGUGAAGGAGCUAAAGAACCAACGUGAAGAAACCUGAAGAACAACUUAUCUGUUCCGAUAUAGAUUGUGAGAAGAACAGGCUGAAGAGUAGAAGUCGACCCAGAACAGAGAUGAAGAGGUGAAGAGCUAAAGAGUUCAAGUCGUUUUCUCCAAUAACGAUUUCUUCAAUAAUUAGUUUUCCCAAGCUUUGUUUGAGUCCGAGAUUCUGCCCGAAAUUCUCAUCCGUUGUUAGUGUUCAAGUUUCAUGGAGAAGAUCGAUUUCCUACUCAUCCCCUUCCAGUUCACUGCCUGAAGAAAGUUCCUCUUAUAUAGCUGCUGCAAUCUUGGAUAAUAACGUACAAGAAAUUCUUGUAAGAUUUGAGCCCUUCUAGAAUUGCCUGCACACAAAAAUGGGUUUCCAGAUGGGUUGAUCAGAAACCAUGGGCUACUUAUGAAUUUGAGUUGCAAGAAUCAUCGGGACAAGAUCCGGAGGUGCUGUUUGAAUGAUCUUUCGAUAUCCUAGGUUACAUUGAUAAAAAAACAUAUACUUUGAUGUUUUUGUGUUGAGUUUCCUCUUUUUUCAUGCCUGUUUUGUGCCACUGCUAUCCUGAUUUACAUGUUUGCAUUAGAGUAUCUUCAGAUUACUCUCUUGCUGCCCCUGUUCUUUGGCCUGAAGUGGACUUGGAGUUGGCAUUGAAGAGAAGUAGAAAGUGGUUUAGCCAGCCAAACAAAAUGACACUGGAAAUGAAAAAAAGGAAAAUGUUGGUAAUUGAAUUUUGAUUAGUGGAACAGAAGUAAAUUCAAUCUAUUGUAUUCAUGCUGAAGAAUUUUUUACUAAUAUCAUAUUUGUUUAAAUUCCUUUGAUUUUCUGGUAUAUAUUGAUAGUAGAGAUUUUUAAGCAAUCACUUUCUAUGUAUUGGUUGUAGAAGACAUGUUUUCAAAGAUUAUUCAUAAUAUAUAGCCUCGAUUUAUUGAUUAGCUAA